AUUAAGUAAGGUGGUAGUUUGAAAUAAACCUCUUUGUUCUUUUGCUCUACCUAGCUUCAUUAAGCCAAGUAAAAGCUUUAUUAGGUAAAGUGAAAGCUUGAAAUAAGCUUCUAUGCAAUUAUUUUUAGAUGAAAUAUUAAAUAUAUAAAAUAUUAAAAAGCGCAUGAAGCUUCAUUAAGCCUAGUGCAAGCUUCAGUAAGUGAAGUAAAAAUUUUAAAUAAACCUUUUUGUAUUUUGUUCUCAUCGCUUUAAGGAUUUUUUUAUUGUUUUGUUUGCUUUAAAUAAAAUAUUCAGUAUUUAAAGCGCAUGAACGCUUCACUAAGUCAAGUGAAAGCUUCAUUAGGUAAGGUGAAAACUUCAUUAGACGAAGAAAAAGUUUCAUAUAACCUCUUUUGUAAUUUAAUUGGUUUGCUCUCAGCAAAAUAUUCAAUUAAAAAAGUCAAGUGAAAGCUUCAGUAAAUGAAGUGAAAGCUUGCUGAGCGAAAUUCUUGGCAAUAUAAAGAUUCGUAUUUCUUCAUAAAUUACAUGAGCUUUAAACAGAAACUGAGUAUAGACCAAAAUAGUUGCAAAAUUUUUAGUGACAAUGUUACCACUAAGAAAGUUUAAACGAAUUUUUGAAGUUUUACACGAGCGUUCCAGAGACCCUUUGUUAACUCGAAUCGAACAAAUUGAAAGUAUUUGCCGAAUUAGAAAAUAUACUUUGAGACAUACUAAUUUUUUGAAAAUUCUGAUUACCCUUAACCAAUCAUUGUUGUUUUAAGAAGCUUUUGUUUAGAGACAAUCACUGGAAUAUUAGCUUUAAAAAAUUUUCAAAGCUUUUAUAUUUCCCAAAAUUAUGUUUUCAAAAUAUUUAUAAUAAAACCUAUUUCGCUUUUCGGAAUAAUUCUGCUUAAUAGUAUUGAAAAGCUUUUUAAAAAGCUUUCACGGCAAUUUUUCUUUGAGCUUUUAUGCAUUUAUAAGCUUCGAAAGCUUUCAUAUUUCCAAAAAAUGUAUUUUAAAAAUAUUUCUAAUAAUACCUAUUCCGUUUUUCGGAACAUUUAUUCUUAAUAGUACUAAAAAGCUUAGAACUUUUAUGCGUUUGAAAGCUCCGAAAGCUUUCAUAUUUCUAAAACAUGCAUUUAAAAAUAGCGAUUAGCUAUUUUUUUCGGAAAAGCUUUUUAAGAGCCUUUCCAGAAAAUUUUGCUUUGAAUUUAUUUCGUUUAAAAAGUUUGAAAGCUUUUAUAUUUACAUAUUAGUACUCCCAUAUUAUGAAUGCUUAACAGCUUUACAAUUGCCUCUGAACAUGAAGUAAUUUCUCUGCCUUCAUUUUAGUAAUUUUAAAUGAAUAAUUUUAACUCAUGGAAAACUUUUUUGGUAUCUAUAAUUAUUUAUUUAUUUAGACUUUGUAAAUAUUUUUUAGUCUAUUUUGAAGGUAGAAUUAUUUUUGAUGACAGCUCUUUUAGAAUUUGUGCAUUGAUAAAACCUAACAUUUGUAUUGAAAUGUGGAAGUGUUAAAAGCUUUAAUUCUUCUUAAAAGCUUGAAAGCUUUUUCAAAAUUUGAAUUAAAACAACUUUUUAUAAAAUUGUAUUAAAGUUUUCACAGUCUCACUAGAAAAUUAACUCGUUUUAAUUUAGUUUACUUAUUAUAUUAAAUAUUUAUGUUUAAGCCAAAAAUAUUUUGAAUUUUUUAAGUUUAAUUAUUUUUGAAAAAUAUUAAAAUCUCAUCUCAUUAAAAUGCUCACAAUAAAAAUACAGGAAAAAUUCUCAAAACAAAAGCAAAUAUUUUAAUGGAAAAGCGCACUACAAAGAAAAUAUAAUAACGGUAUUUGUAUACAAAUUAAUUAAAAAAUAAUAAUUUCAGUUUUUCAAAAAUCAUUUAACAAAUUUAAAUACGUAAAAAAUGAAAAUAAGCCAAAAAUUAUUUCUAAAAUAUAAUUAGAAUAUUUAUUACGCCAAAGGUCAUGAAAAUAUUUACAAAUAUUGUAAAAAAUAAAAACAAAAAAUAUACCUUAAAACUACAAAUCUCAUAAACAACUGCAAACAAAACGUCCAAAUUUACGAAAGCAAAUGUAAAAACUAAAACAAAGACGACAAAAUGUGAAGUAACAAUUACUGAAGAAAUAUACAUAUGUACAUAUAUAUUGUAUAUAUAUAUGUAUGUAUAUAAUAUACUUAUGGAUAUUUUUUUAUACACACUUACAUGAACACUUGAAGAAUCCAAAAAAACAAGCAAAAACCAACAGUAAGCGAACAAUAAAUAAACAAAGCAGAAUUAUUUACUUCAAACAACAAAAAAUAAUAUUAAAACUCUUGAACAAAAAGCAAAGUUUAAAUUUUAAAUAUUUGUAUGUAUAUAACAUUCUAGAAUUAUCAAUUUUCCAUUACUUCCUGAGUGAUUUAAAAUAUUCUAAAAUAUAUACUAUAUAUACAUAUAUAUUAUUUUUGAUUCUGAACCACGAGCUUUUUAGAUUUCAAAGCUUUUGCUUUCAUUCCCUUAAUGGAAAGUUUUUCUGCACCAUACGACUCUUAAACGAGCCUACAACCUGUGUCCUUAGCUAACUUUUAACUUCAGUGAAAUCAGAAGAGCUUUUCAGAACUACGAGCUUUUCCGAUUUUAAAGCUUUUGCUUCCAUUCUCUUAAUGAUAAAGUUUUCUGCAACAUGCGACUCUGAAACGAGCCGACAACGUAUUAUAAUAUGUCCAUAGCUAACUUUAAACUUCAGUGAGUUCAGAAAAACUUUUCUGGAUCAUGAGCAUUCCAGUUUUCAAAGCUUUUGUUUCCAUUAUCUUAAUGGAAAGUUUUUCCAAAGCUCAUAGUGUUGCGAUUUGAUAAUUUUAUUGCGAGUUCUAAGCACAAUAACUUCUUAAUAAUUCUAAUAUAAAACUUAAUGCUCCAACUAAACGAAUGUGAACCUAAUAGGAAUGAGCUUUCUGGAUUUUUUUUUUAUUUCAUAAAUUUGUAUUGCACUUUUUUAUGUAUAAGCUCUACUAACUCAAAAACCAAGCGACAAGAGACAUUUUUAUUAUGUUUAUUUUACAACAACAACAAAAAAUAUUAAUGGUUUUUAGGCGCUCUAGUCUCUUCCACUAAAGCAAAUUAGUCUAGCAUAUAAAGCACCAACAAAGCAAAUAAUCAGAUAUUAGACGAAAAUACAUUCACAGAUACAUACAUACACACAUACACAAGCCAUCAACCUUAUCUUAAAUGCGGACAGCAAACAAGCGUAAAGUAAAAAUUAGAAUAAAAGAAGUUCACACGUUGGAAACCAUGAAAUAAUAAAGUUGCUAUAAUAAAUCUAAAACACAACAACAAACAAACUUAUAUAGUAAACUUCUUCUUAGAAUUUAGCAUAGAUUAGCAGCAGUGUGCAACUAGUAAUGAUUAAAAGUGCGUUAGAAGAAGCAGAAUAGGAGACAAGCAAAACAACAAAAGUUUACACAAACAAGCAGUGAAUGUUGGACGCAAGCGUUUUUGCGAGCUUUUAGCGGGCAUGAGAAAUGACGGAAAUGUUUUAGUGCAAAAUACAAACUAAAUAUAUACAUACAUAUAUACAUUUAUAUAACAAAAAAGAAAAGAAAAUGAAAAAGAAAAAAAGAAGAAGAAGAAAAAAAAUUACCAAAAGAACUAAAUAUAUGUAUUGCUUAAAACUAUUUUAGAUAAAGAAAUUAACAAAGUAACCAAAAACAAAAUAAACAACAACAACAAAUUCUGCACGAGCUAAGGUUAGAAAUCAGACACACAUAAUAUAUAUGUAUAAAUAAAUAUAUGUAGAUUAUUGUCUCUAUAUAGACAGCAGCUUGGCACAAGCACGUAGACACACACACACACACAAACGCUCACACAUGAAACGUUCUCCUCCUUAUUAGACUGGCACUUAAGCUUAAGCAUUUGGCAAUUUAUUAUAAGUAAAUUAAAUAUAGUUGGAAAAAAGCAAAAUUCACAUACAUACAAACAAAUAUAAAUAUUAAUGCGAGUUGAAAAGCAAAUUCUAUGUAAAUUUCAAAUUAAAAAAUAAGAAAUACAUUUUUCUUGGAGCUUUUAGUGGAAGCUUGCGCAAAAAAGAACAAAGAAAUACAAAUAUUCAAAUUUAUUUAACCGUUAUGUUGUGUAAAUGUAGUGGCUAAAAGCGCUAAAUGUAAAUAAUUUCUUUCCAAGCUGUAGGAGCAAAGCAAGUUCGUCGCUUAAGUCUUUCGUUUGUUUGGCUUGGAGUAAACCAGCUUGCGAAAUAUAAUAUAAUGAUAUAUGAGUAUAAAUAUAUGAUAUACGAAAGUAUGCAGCACGCAAUAGAAGAAAAAUACAAAAAUAAAAAUAACAAGAUGGCAGAGAAAAAUAAUUAAAUAUUCACGUGACGACAGAAAUGAGAAAAGCAGAGAACACAAUGCGUCACGAGUGAAAUAAAUAUUUAUUUUAGCGACACAAAAAAAAAUAAUUUUAACAUAAUAUAUAAUUAAAAAUUAUUGUAUAAUAAAAAAUUAAAAUUAAGAUAAAACAAUUUAAUAAAAAAAACUUUAUUUAAAUUAUAAACUUAAAAAAAUAUUAAUACAAAAAAACCCAAAAAAAAAAUAAAAAUAAAUUAAAAUAUUAAAAUUUAAAAAUAUGAAGACUAACAAUUAAAAAAAAAUAUGUUUAAAACACUAUAAAAAUUAUAAAAAAAUAUAUACGAAAAAAAUUAAUAAAAGCUGAACGUAUAAACGUAUACAAAAAAAAUUAUAUUAAUACAAAAAAAAAUUAAAUAAAACAUAAAUAAAUUAAAAUAUUAUUAAUAUUAAAAAUAAAAAACUAAAAUAAAAUAUAUUUGUAAUAAUAAAGAAUUAUAAAAAAGUAAAAGCUAAAAAUGGCAGUAAAACAAAAAAUAAUAAUAAAUUAAAAUGUUAUUAAUACUAACAAAUAUGCAAACAAAAAAUUAUAGAAAAAAAUAAAAUGUGUUUUAAAUAUUAAAAAUUUAUAAAAGACAAAAUUAAAAGUUAAAAAAUUAAUGAAAAAUAACCUCUGUUUUUGUUAUUAAUUUUUUAACUUAUAUUUUUUUGUAAUUAAUAAAAAUACUUUAUAAUAAAUAAAAAAUAAUAAUUUUCUUAAAAACUUAUAAAAAAAUUAAAAGGUACAAACGUAUAACAAACAAUUAAAAAAUAAGAUAAAAUUAAAACUAUAAAAAAAAACAAGAAAAAACGUUAACUUCGGCUGCACCGAAGCUAAUAUACCCUUCACAGGUGCAUUUCUUUUAGUAACUAUGUGUUCAGUUUGUAUGGCAGCUAUAUGCUAUAGUUAGCCGAUCUGAACCAUUUUUUUGGAGAUUAUAUUGUUACCUUAAGCAGUAAUCCAUGUCAAAUUUCGUGAAGAUACCACGUCAAAUGCGAAAGUUUUUCAUACAAGAACUUGCUUUUAAGGGUCGGUUUGUAUGACAGCUAUAUGCUAUAGUGAGCCGAUCUGAACAAUUUCUUCCUAUAUUACAUUAUUUCUAUGAACAAUAACUCAUACCAAAUUUCGUGAAGAUAUAUCGUCAAAUGAGGAAGUUUCCCAUGCAAGCAUUUGAUUCCGAUCGUUCGGUUUGUAUGGUAGCUACAUGCUAUAGUUAACCGAACUGAACGAUUUCUUCGGAAAUUACAUUGUAGCCUUAAAAAAUAGUCUAUACCAAAUUUCGUGAAUAUAUCUUGUGAAAUGUGAAAGUUUUUUAUACAAGAACUUGAUUCCGAUCGUUCAGAUUGUAUGGCAGCUAUAUGUUAUAGUUGUUCGAUAUUGGCAGUUCCGACAAAUGAGCAGCUUCUUGAAGAGAAAAUGACGUUUGCAAAAUUUUGAAAACGAUAUCUUAAAAACUGAGGGACUAGUUCGUAUAUAUACAGACAGACGGACAGACAGACGGACAUGGCUAAAUCGACUCAGCUCAACAUACUGAUCAUUUAUAUAUUAUAUAUACUUUAUAGGGUCUCCGACGCUUCCUUCUGGGUGUUACAAACUUCGUGACAAACUUAAUAUACCCUGUUCAGGGUAUAACAAGAAAAAUUAUAAUAAUUCAAGUAUUAAAAUAUUAAAAUUAAUUUAUAAUAAAAAAAUUAAAAAUAAACAUUCAAAUUAAUUAUGUUUUUUAUUAAUUUUUGAACUUUUAUUUUUUUAUAAUUUUUUUAACUCAUAAAAAAUUUAAAAGAUUAAACAUAUAAAAAAACAAAAAAAAUAUAUUUAUUAAAUUAAUGAAAAUAAUAAAAAUACUGCGUUAAGUCUUAAAAAGAAUAUAUAUGUAUGUAUAUAUUAAUGUAAAAUCCUAAAAAAAAACAGAAAAAAUUUAAUUUUAUUAAGCAAAUAAAAAAUAAAUAUUAAAUCCUAAAAACAACAAAAUAAAAAAAUUAAUUAAUGUGAAAACAAAAAAUAUAAUAAAUAUAUUAUAUAAUAAAACAUAAUAUAAAAACAUUAAUUUACAGCUUAAAUAUAUAAAUAAAUAAAUGUAAAAUAUAUAUAUAAAUAAAUAAAAUUAUAAAAACUAAAAUAAAUAAAUAAAAUAAAAAAUAAAUAAAUUGUUUAUUAAAAUAAAUAAAAAAAUAAUUAAAAUAACUUUAAAAAUUAAAAUACAAAAAACAUUUAAAAUAAAAAAUAUGCAAAAAAAAACAUUAAAAUAAAAUUUCAAAAAUUAAUUAAAUAAAAAUUUAUUUAAAAAUAGUUGUUUGAAAUUUAAAAACUGAAUACAACUGCAUUUCAUGAUUGGAAUUAUAGCAAAGAACUACGAAAGUAUAACGAAGAACGCAGCAAAAAACUGAUAUACACACAUACAAACAAAAAUAUUUUACUACAACAAUAUAUUACAUACAAACAUAUGAUAAAUAGGCGUUAAAACGCAGCGGCAAAGCAAAGAAAAAUAAAGAAAAAAGCUAAAGCAACAACAAACAGCAACUACAGCCAAGCAAAUAUGUACAGAAAAAAACAAAAAAAAAUAAAUAAAAAUUAUUAAAAAAAGAUUAUUAAAAAAAUACAAUGUAAAAAAUAUUUAUUUAUAAAAUAUGAAAUACUGACUACCGUUGUUAUACACACAUACAGAUAAACUCAACGAUGAGCAACACUUUAUUUAUUUAUUAUGCAAAAUAUGACAAAAAUAUGACAAAAAACAACAACAAAAGCAAAGGCAGGCACAGACAAAGAAAACAGCGCAAAGUGCGAGCACAGACACACACACAUACAUGCAUAUAAACCACACACACAAUCAUUCUAAACAUGAAGACAGCACAUUUGGCAUUUGAAAGCAUAUAAAUACACACACACACAUACAAACCCAAAUAAAAUAUCUGAAAACAUGUUAACAAAAUAAUUAAAUUAAAUUUAAACAAAAAAUAAAAAAAAAAAAACUUAUACAUAAAUUAUACAUUUAAAUAAAUAUUGAACUCCAAUUUUGAUGUCUUAAAGAGAAGCAAAAGCAAAAACAAAAAAAAAAACUCCCAAAAAAACACAAAAAAAAAACAAAAUGUCAAAUAUUAAUAUUUAAAAUAAAGUCUAUUGCAAAACAAACUCAAAUAUUAUACAUACAAAUAAAUACAAAAAUAUAUUAAAACCAAAAACAAAAAAAAACAACAUAAAAAAUAUGAAAUAUGAAGAAUAAAGAGUAAAUUAUACAGUGAUUAAAAAUGAAAA